AUUGAACGCUGGCGGCAUGCUUUACACAUGCAAGUCGAGCGGCAGCGCGGGGGCAACCCUGGCGGCGAGCGGCGAACGGGUGAGUAAUGCAUCGGAACGUAUCCACGAGUGGGGGAUAACCCAGCGAAAGUUGGGCUAAUACCGCAUGAGCUCUGAGGAGGAAAGCGGGGGACCUGCGAGGGCCUCGCGCUGGAGGAGCGGCCGAUGUCCGAUUAGCUAGUUGGUGGGGUAAAGGCUUACCAAGGCGACGAUCGGUAGCUGGUCUGAGAGGAUGAUCAGCCACACUGGGACUGAGACACGGCCCAGACUCCUACGGGAGGCAGCAGUGGGGAAUUUUGGACAAUGGGGGCAACCCUGAUCCAGCCAUGCCGCGUGAGUGAAGAAGGCCUUCGGGUUGUAAAGCUCUUUCGGACGGAACGAAAUGGGCGGGACUAAUACUCCUGUCUGAUGACGGUACCGUAAGAAGAAGCACCGGCUAACUACGUG
rnacentral:rRNA from 1 species